rnacentral:rRNA from 1 species
UACGUAGGCAGCGAGCGUUGUUCGGAAUUACUGGGCGUAAAAGAGUGUGUAGGCGGUGCUCUAAGUUCGGUGUGAAAUCUCCCGCUUAACUGGGAGGGUGCGCCGGAAACUGGAGUGCUCGAGCGUGGGAGAGGAAAGCGGAAUUCCUGGUGUAGCGGUGAAAUGCGUAGAUAUCAGGAGGAACACCUGCGGUGUAGACGCUUUCUGGACCAUUGCUGACGCUGAGACACGAAAGCGUGGGUAGCAAACAGG